AGAGUUCGUUCCUGGCUCAGGAUGAACGCUGGCGGCGUGCUUAACACAUGCAAGUCGAACGAAGCACUUUAUUUGAUUUCCUUCGGGAUUGAUUAUUUUGUGACUGAGUGGCGGACGGGUGAGUAACGCGUGGGUAACCUGCCUUGUACAGGGGGAUAACAGUUGGAAACGGCUGCUAAUACCGCAUAAGCGCACAGCAUCGCAUGAUGCAGUGUGAAAAACUCCGGUGGUAUAAGAUGGACCCGCGUUGGAUUAGCUAGUUGGUGAGGUAACGGCCCACCAAGGCGACGAUCCAUAGCCGACCUGAGAGGGUGACCGGCCACAUUGGGACUGAGACACGGCCCAAACUCCUACGGGAGGCAGCAGUGGGGAAUAUUGCACAAUGGGCGAAAGCCUGAUGCAGCGACGCCGCGUGAGCGAAGAAGUAUUUCGGUAUGUAAAGCUCUAUCAGCAGGGAAGAUAAUGACGGUACCUGACUAAGAAGCACCGGCUAAAUACGUGCCAGCAGCCGCGGUAAUACGUAUGGUGCAAGCGUUAUCCGGAUUUACUGGGUGUAAAGGGAGCGCAGGCGGUGCGGCAAGUCUGAUGUGAAAGCCCGGGGCUCAACCCCGGUACUGCAUUGGAAACUGUCGUACUAGAGUGUCGGAGGGGUAAGCGGAAUUCCUAGUGUAGCGGUGAAAUGCGUAGAUAUUAGGAGGAACACCAGUGGCGAAGGCGGCUUACUGGACGAUAACUGACGCUGAGGCUCGAAAGCGUGGGGAGCAAACAGGAUUAGAUACCCUGGUAGUCCACGCCGUAAAC
rnacentral:rRNA from 1 species